AGAACAGAAGAAAACAGGGAUGGUAGAGAUGAUUUGGUAAGGCAGACAUGAAUGAGACAGGUUCUAAUAAAUAACAAAGGAUUCAUCAUUCUCCAAAGUUGGAAGACAAUUUCUUAUGCAACAUUCAAGGACAAAUAGGCAACUCAAAAAACAGACAAAAAUUCUAUUACUUGCUGGCAAUGUAUAAAGACUAGAAUACUCCUUAGCUAAGCUAAUAUCUUGCCGACGUAGUACAGAUGCCAACAA
rnacentral:lncRNA from 1 species